rnacentral:ncRNA from 1 species
UAUAAAACGUUGAUGAAGAAUGAAGAAAUGGAAUCCAUUUUACAGAGAGUUAGUGGCUGGUGUGAACUAACAUGGAUCAUUUCAGAUAGCCCUUCUGAGUUGGCUGAUUGAAACCUACUGGAGUAGAUCAGCUCGGAUGAUCCGUUAUCUUUGGAGAUAAUUCUCCCCUGAGAUGUGUUAUAUCUAACACAUAAAUGAGGGUGGCACCGCGGUUAGAACCUUCCGCCCCUCAC